GUAAAUAAGGGACCGAGCGCGACUCUCCAGAGCACCGUAAAUAGAGUCCGAGUGGGCGGGGAGCAGCCCGGCACCGCCUGCUCAUGUCGCUGCAGAGCCAAGUGUCCGGCCGCCUGGCACAGCUGCGCGUGGCGGGGCAGCUGCUGGUCUCCCCGCGCCCCUGGCCCGGCCGCUCGGCGGGUGGCCCGCGGCCCCGUGGCAGUGCGUACGGUCCCCUGGUGGCGCUGGGCCAGCACGGCUACUGCGCGUGGCCUUCGGCGGGAGUUGGGGCGUGGGGGGCGGCAGGGCGUGGAGCCUGGGUGCGCACCUGGGCCCCCCUGGCCAUGGCCGCGAAGGUGGACCUGAGCACCUCCACCGACUGGAAGGAGGCCAAAUCCUUUCUGAAGGGCCUGAGUGACAAGCAGAGGGAGGAACAUUACUUCUGCAAGGAUUUCAUUAAGCUGAAGAAGAUCCCCAUGUGGAAGGAGACAGCAAAAGGGCUGGCUGGGAAGGUGGAGAACCCCAAGUAUAAGAAGGACAAGCAGCUGAAUGAGAAAAUCUCCCUGUUCCGUGGGGACAUCACCAAGCUGGAGGUGGAUGCCAUUGUCAAUGCUGGAGCCAAGGGUUCAACACCUGCACUGGUGACACCAUUAGCAUCACGCUGAGUGCCAAUUCAACAAGGCCA
rnacentral:lncRNA from 1 species